rnacentral:lncRNA from 1 species
UCCAUAUCACAAAAGGAAGGCUGAGAUUGAGUUUGGGGGUAAUUGCCCAAUUCAUGCAGGAAUUAGGGGCCAAAAACAAGCAUUUUUCUAGUUUCCAGACAAUAAUCUUGUGUGUUAAGAGUAUGGAUCUCUCUGAAAUUGUACUACAAGGUUCCAUACUACAAAGGAAAGGCUGGAAUUGAGUGUGGGGGUAAUUGAUUAAAGGG